rnacentral:rRNA from 1 species
GACGAACGCUGGCGGCGUGCUUAACACAUGCAUGUCGAACGGAAAGGCCCUGCUUUUGUGGGGUGCUCGAGUGGCGAACGGGUGAGUAACACGUGAGUAACCUGCCCUUGACUUUGGGAUAACUUCAGGAAACUGGGGCUAAUACCGGAUAGGAGCUCCUGCUGCAUGGUGGGGGUUGGAAAGUUUCGGCGGUUGGGGAUGGACUCGCGGCUUAUCAGCUUGUUGGUGGGGUAGUGGCUUACCAAGGCUUUGACGGGUAGCCGGCCUGAGAGGGUGACCGGCCACAUUGGGACUGAGAUACGGCCCAGACUCCUACGGGAGGCAGCAGUGGGGAAUAUUGCACAAUGGGCGGAAGCCUGAUGCAGCAACGCCGCGUGCGGGAUGACGGCCUUCGGGUUGUAAACCGCUUUCGCCUGUGACGAGGCGUGAGUGACGGUAAUGGGUAAAGAAGCACCGGCUAACUACGUGCCAGCAGCCGCGGUGAUACGUAGGGUGCGAGCGUUGUCCGGAUUUAUUGGGCGUAAAGGGCUCGUAGGUGGUUGAUCGCGUCGGAAGUGUAAUCUUGGGGCUUAACCCUGAGCGUGCUUUCGAUACGGGUUGACUUGAGGAAGGUAGGGGAGAAUGGAAUUCCUGGUGGAGCGGUGGAAUGCGCAGAUAUCAGGAGGAACACCAGUGGCGAAGGCGGUUCUCUGGGCCUUUCCUGACGCUGAGGAGCGAAAGCGUGGGGAGCGAACAGGCUUAGAUACCCUGGUAGUCCACGCUGUAAACGGUGGGUACUAGGUGUGGGGUCCAUUCCACGGGUUCCGUGCCGUAGCUAACGCUUUAAGUACCCCGCCUGGGGAGUACGGCCGCAAGGCUAAAACUCAAAGGAAUUGACGGGGCCCCGCACAAGCGGCGGAGCAUGCGGAUUAAUUCGAUGCAACGCGUAGAACCUUACCUGGGUUUGACAUGGAUCGGGAGUGCUCAGAGAUGGGUGUGCCUCUUUUGGGGUCGGUUCACAGGUGGUGCAUGCCUGUCGUCAGCUCGUGUCGUGAGAUGUUGGGUUAAGUCCCGCAACGAGCGCAACCCUUGUUCACUGUUGCCAGCACGUUAUGGUGGGGACUCAGUGGAGACCGCCGGGGUCAACUCGGAGGAAGGUGGGGAUGACGUCAAGUCCUCAUGCCCCUUAUGUCCAGGGCUUCACGCAUGCUACAAUGGCUGGUACAGAGAGUGGCGAGCCUGUGAGGGUGAGCGAAUCUCGGAAAGCCGGUCUCAGUUCGGAUUGGGGUCUGCAACUCGACCUCAUGAAGUCGGAGUCGCUAGUAAUCGCAGAUCAGCAACGCUGCGGUGAAUACGUUCCCGGGGCU